UUUGGUCCUAAACUUACUGCUACUUUUAAUCAAAUUUACACAUGCAAGCAUCCACACACCAGUGAAAUACGCCCUAACACAGUAUAAAUGGAGCAGGUAUCAGGCACAACCGCCAGCCAAAAACACCAAGCUUUGCCACACCCACACGGGCCCUCAGCAGUGAUAAACAUUAAGCAAUAAGCGAACACACCAAACUAAAGCUUGACUUAGUUAUGAUUAACAGGGCCGGUAAACCUCGUGCCAGCCACCGCGGUUACACGGCGGGCCCAAAGCAGCAGACUCUCGGCGUAAAUAGUGGCCAGAAUAAUUACCCCCACAUUAAAAACUAAACCAUACCCUAACCGUAAAACACAGGCUAAAUGAAAUCAAGCACUUUUAAUAACAGGUAAUUUGACCCACGAAAACUAAGAAACAAACUAGGAUUAGAUACCCUACUAUGCUUAGUCGUUAAUAUGAUAUUAUAGUACUAAAAUAUCCGCCAGAAAACUACGAGCGAAAAGCUUAAAACUCAAAGGACUUGGCGGUGCUCCAUACCGACUUAGAGGAGCCUGUCCUAUAAUCGAUACCCCACGCUAAACCCCACCAAUCUUUGCCAUACCAGCCUAUAUACCGCCGUCGUCAACCCACCUCAUGAGAGAAAAACAGUGAGUACAAAAGUUCAAUAACUAAAACGUC
rnacentral:rRNA from 1 species